rnacentral:rRNA from 1 species
UACGUAGGUGGCAAGCGUUGUCCGGAAUUAUUGGGCGUAAAGCGCGCGCAGGCGGUCCUUUAAGUCUGAUGUGAAAGCCCACGGCUCAACCGUGGAGGGUCAUUGGAAACUGGGGGACUUGAGUACAGAAGAGGAAAGCGGAAUUCCACGUGUAGCGGUGAAAUGCGUAGAGAUGUGGAGGAACACCAGUGGCGAAGGCGGCUUUCUGGUCUGUAACUGACGCUGAGGAGCGAAAGCGUGGGGAGCGAACAGG